rnacentral:tRNA from 1 species
UGGCUCAGAGGUUAAAGCAUCUGCCUACAAUGCAGGAGACCCAGGUUCCAUCCCUGG